CAGUCGCCACGGGAAUACGUAGGUGGCAAGCGUUGUCCGGAAUUAUUGGGCGUAAAGGGCUCGCAGGCGGUUUCUUAAGUCUGAUGUGAAAGCCCCCGGCUCAACCGGGGAGGGUCAUUGGAAACUGGGAAACUUGAGUGCAGAAGAGGAGAGUGGAAUUCCACGUGUAGCGGUGAAAUGCGUAGAGAUGUGGAGGAGCACCAGUGGCGAAGGCGACUCUCUGGUCUGUAACUGACGCUGAGGAGCGAAAGCGUGGGGAGCGAACAGGAUUAGAUACCCCGGUAGUCCCUGUCUCUUAUAC
rnacentral:rRNA from 1 species